UGGUUGCCUGGGAAAUGAAUAGAAGUUCAGCCCUUUAAGUUUCCCCCGUCCCCUAAGUAAUUACUAAAAAUGAUAAAGGAAACUAAAGGAGUUAAUCAAAAGGGGUACAGCCCUUCUGAUAGAAGAAACAACUUUAAUAGGUGACUCAAGAUCAUAUUAUUCAAGGACUUCAAUUUAAGUGGGCCUAAAAGCAGCCAUCUCAAUAGAAAGCGUUAAAGCUCAAAUUAACCCUUGUCCUUAUAUUCUGAUAUAACAUCUCCCUCCCUACCCACUUACCAGGCUGUCUUAUGCUCCCAUAAGAACAAUUAUGCUAAAAUGAGUAAUAAGAAGAAUUCAAUUCUUCUCCUAGCACAUGUGUAAGUUGGAACGGACCCCCCACCAACAAUUAACCGACCCCAAACCCAGAGGGACUUAAAUUAUAUAAACAAGAAAAACACUUAUUAUAAAUCGUUAACCCCACACAGGUGUGCCCCAAGGAAAGACUAAAAGAGAAGGAAGGAACUCGGCAAACACAAGCCUCGCCUGUUUACCAAAAACAUCACCUCUUGUUACACAAAAUAUAAGAGGCCCCGCCUGCCCUGUGACAAUAAGUUUAACGGCCGCGGUAUUUUAACCGUGCGAAGGUAGCGUAAUCACUUGUCUUUUAAAUGGAGACCAGUAUGAAUGGCAUCACGAGGGCUUAACUGUCUCCCCUCUCCAGUCAAUGAAAUUGACCUUCCCGUGCAGAGGCGGGAAUAUUAAUAUAAGACGAGAAGACCCUGUGGAGCUUUAGACCUAAAAUAAACCACGUCUAGUAUACUGUAAUACCAGCAAAAGCCUAGUGGUUACAUAUUGAAGUGUCUUUGGUUGGGGCGACCGCGGGGUAAAACACAACCCCCUUGUGGACUGGGGAUAUUAUCCCUAAUACUCAGAGCCUCUACUCCAAGUAACAGAAAUUCUGACUUUCUGAUCCGGUAUAACCGAUCAACGAACCGAGUUACCCCAGGGAUAACAGCGCAAUCCCCUCUCAGAGCCCUUAUCGACGAGGGGGUUU
rnacentral:rRNA from 1 species